UGGAUCACCAAUAAUCUUUGGUGACAUAUGAGUUAAGGAUGGUGACUAUAAGUCUGGAAGUGUGAUUUCCAC
ensembl:snoRNA